rnacentral:rRNA from 1 species
AGCGAACGCUGGCGGCAGGCCUAACACAUGCAAGUCGAACGAACCUUUCGGGGUUAUUGGCGGACGGGUGAGUAACACGUGGGAACGUGCCUUUAGGGUCGGAAUAACUCAAGGAAACGUGUGCUAAUACCGAAUGUGCUCUACGGCGGAAAGAUUUAUCGCCUUUAGAGCGGCCCGCGUCUGAUUAGCUAGUUGGUUGAGGUAAUGGCACACCAAGGCCACGAUCAGUAGCUGGUCUGUGAGGAUAAUCAGCCACAUUAGGUGUAGGACGCGGACAAAAAUCCUACGCAAGGGGAAAGUGGGUAAUCUUGCGAAGUGGACGGAAGCCUGACGCAGCCAUGCCACAUGAAUGAUGAAGGUCUUAAGAAAGUAAAAUUAUUGCACCGGGGACGGUAAUGACGGUACCCGAGGAAGAAGCCCCGGCUAACUACGUG